ensembl:lncRNA
ACUUAGUAAUAGGGGUUGUGACAUCAAUGUUCUUACUCUAUUUAAAAGAACCAACCGACUGGGUAUAACUCAUUGUCUUUGCAUCGUCACACCUGAUCAACUGCUGAAAUUGACUGACUCGAAGAACUGACCACCAAGAUGAUGAUGAAGACUGUAAUCUUUCUGGGCUGCCUCCUGGGCCUGUCAUUGGCUCUUCCUGCUGAUGUGGAUCAUUUGAGAGUUGCACGUUCCAGCUCUGACUCCAACUCUAACUCAAACUCCAGGGAGGCUGGUUCCUUUCUGCCCUCCCUGCCACAGUUGAAUUCAAAUCAGCUACUUCAACUUCUACUUAAACUGUUUGCUGCCUCUGUCCCAGCACCAGCCCCUGCCCCAGCCCCUGCCCCAGCCCCUGCCCCCUGCCCCAGCCCCUGCCCCCCCAGCCCCAGCCCCAGCCCCUGCCCCUGCCCCAGCCCCUGCACCAGCCCCUGCCCCUGCACCAGCCCCUGCCCCAGGUGGACGUUAAACAGCAGGACAGGAAAAUGGAUAAAUUCAUACGCUUAUCAAGAGAACAUCCCUGGUCAUCCCUACUGUCUCUGAUCUGGUGGACUCACAAAACACAAAUGCUUAGUUUAUAAAGAUGUCUGAGUGUUGGAGUGUACCCCUGGCUAUCCGUAAAUAAAGUAAACAAGAAAAUGGUGGCGGUCUGGUUUGUUUAAUAUAAGGUUUUUGUAAUGAUUUAUACUUUUACUGUUGAGUAUAUCUGAGCAAUUACAUAAAACUUUUGAUACUUAAGUAUAUUUAAAACCAAAUACUUUUAGACUUUUACUCAAGUUGUAUUUAACUGGGUAACUUUAUUUUCUAUUAAGGUAUUUUUACUUUCACUCAAGUAUGACAAUUGGGUACCUUUCCCAACACUGGAUUCCCCAAACAUUAUAAGUACAAUGUAUAUCCUUUAAAUUCAUUAAUUCACUUUUCAGUCGAUCAGGUAUUUCAUGGAACUCCCAGACAUUGACUAUGAAGUGUGAUUCCUUUAUGCAUUUCUGUUUAAUAAACACAUUAAUAUUUCAAGCUCAAUUGUAUGUCUGUCCAGUCCUCUGAUGAAUGCUCAUUAAGUUUAUGGAAAUUGUGAGAAAUCUAUGCAAAGUGUGUUACAUUACAUUGCGUUAUUUAAUUAAAAAAAAAAAUGUUGUCCAUUAUAUUGCAUGACAGGAGAAAUCAAAAUAAAGUCUGGUACUUGAGCUAUAUUGUAUAAAUUGAGAAAUUAAAGUUAAACAUUACAAUUAAAUGUGUUCAUUUAGCCUCCGCAAUGCCCCAAAACAGGUAGACAAAUAAUCG